rnacentral:lncRNA from 1 species
UGCCAUCAAACUUUCCAAAGUCUGCCUUAAAGGUACUUGACGCCAUUCCACAUAGAUUUCAAUUUCAACAUAAGAAAUGCUCACAAAUCUAUGUAAUUCUGGGUAAAAUAGGAUAGAUUACUCAAGAUCAAGAUAGAUCCUUACCCAAAUCAGGCAUCCAAGACCUUUCCUCCAUCAGAUCUAGCUCUAAAGAUCUGAUAUCAAUUGUUGUCAAGAUCAGAUCUUUUCUUGCUGACCAUAGAUCGUGGAAGUAGCAGCAAGGAUGGAAGAAAAAUCUUGAUGGCACAUCAGAUUAGGCCUAGAAGAAUCCUAGGCAUGC